AGGCUGCAGGAGGGAGGAGGUGAACCCUGAGCUGCCUCGUGGCUGCUGCAGUAGCUGCAGUGCUGGAGGAUUCUUUGCCUUGAAUGGAUAGGUACAGUUCCCUGAAAUCUGCAUUUCUGAGCUCUGAAAUUCAGACCUGGGAUGACUUUUCUGGCCCUGUGACUCCCAGCACUCCCAGCACACUGUGAUGGUAACUAAGCCAUGGUGGUGAGCUCAGCCAGCAGGAAGAGCUGAGGCAGCAGUGGGAUGGCAGGCAGGAGAAUGAAUCCUUGGCCUAAUCCCUGCCCUGACCCUGACAACACUCUGUGGCCUUGGGCAAAUCCUUCUGGGAGGAGCCCUGGGGGCUGGGGGGUGCAGGAAUGGUCCCACUGGGCUCCCAGCCCUCUAGGGGUUUUCAGCUCUUCUCUUGCACUUCUCUUUUGGUGGGUUGGGAAAUCUGGAGGGGUUUUCCCCAGCUUGGCUGCUACUCGUGACAAGAAAGGGGUUGUUCUCUGCAUGGAGCAUACGGGCUUGAUCAGCUUUGUGAAAGCCAUCGCAAGGUUCUGUGUCCAGAGAUGGUUUCCAAAGCAGGAUGUGGAGCAGAGCCCAGCCCAUCCAGCGGCACCAGCGUGGGGCUCUGCCCCAUUUCCAUUGGGCAGCCCCUGCUGUCCCCGUGUCCUUGGGGAGCUGUGUCCUGUCCCCCCUGGCUAAGAUGCAUUAUCCCACCCCCGAUGCAGCCACCCAAGCAGAUUAGCUGUAAGACCUUAAGACAAAAGAGCAGCUAGGCACUCCACACUGCACACUGCUGAGAAUGGCUGCCCUGAAGACCCUUCUGGCCCUGGCCAUCGUCUCGUCCCUGGCUGGAGGAGAUGAAGGUGGAAGCUCUUGCAGGAGCCGGCCCCGCUGCCACGAGAGGGCUCUGCUCUGUCAGCGCAGCAGAGACGAGUUUCAGUUCCCAGGUUUGUCCAGCCCCAUCAAAACCAAGGAUUCGUCAUUUCAGGCAGGAACGGGAUCUUCAGGUCUGGGCUUUUCUGGGGGUGUGUGUUUGAGGGGUCACACAGCUCUUGCACCACUAUCUGACACACAGGAGAGAGGGGUGGCUGCUAUCAAAGCUGCCCGUGGGGCUCCUUUAAGGACAUCUGGAGAUGGCUCGUCCCUGCCUGUCACCCUGCUUGUCCCCAGGCAGCAUCCUCGGGCUGAGCUUCCCGAGUGCGCUGGGUGUGGGAACUGCACCCACUGGCUGGAUGGAUUCUCCCUUCUCCCCCCAAAAAUACUUAUUAAAAUGAAAUCUGGCACAAGAAGACAAAGAUCUAAGAUGGUUUUUAACUAUUAUGUCUAUUUUUGCUGUAAAGGGAAUUCCAGAACUCUCAGGGAGUCUUUGCAGCGCAAGGACUCAGCUCACCCGCCUGCUUUAGCUCCCAUCAUUUUGAGUCACACUUGGAAGAGUUUUGCAUUAAUUUUGUGGGCAGGGGAGGUCCCAUCCCGCAUCCUCUGAACGCCGGGGCAGCAGCGCCGGCCCCUGGCUCGGCUCUGUCUGGUGCCAGCCCUCACCUGUGAGCCCCGGUCCUGGGGUUGUGCAGACCCACGGAGUGUCGGGGCUCUGGGGGCUCUGGGACGGUGACAGAGUCACUCCCACUCCUCAUCUUCACCCAGGUAAAGCGCUGAAAUGCCACAAAUGUGUCGCAUCCAGCGAGAACGACUGCAACCAGCAGGGAUCGCACAGCUGCCCGCAGUUCGCCGAUGCCUGCUCCACCAUCACCGCGCCCAGUAAGAGACUGGGCUGGGGGCCCGGGGGGACUGGGGGGGCUGGGGGAAGCGGGGUAGGACCGUCGGGUC
rnacentral:lncRNA from 1 species